rnacentral:lncRNA from 1 species
CCUGUCCUAAAAUGUCCUAAAACGCACGCCCAGCUGCAUGAACCGCGAGUGUAUCCCACGAUUCGCUCGUAGGGUCCUUAUUGUCAUUGACUUCCUUUCAUAGGGGGGUAUUUGCUAAUUGUUUUAUCCGAGGGGUUUUUUUGCCAAUUAGAGAUUUCACAGGGGAGCCGAGUGCAAAUACCCCAUGUAAACAUAUAUAUAUAUAUAUAUAUAAUAUAAUAUAUAAACAGAUAUAGUGUAUGUGUAUGUGUAUAUGUGUGUGUGUGAAAAGUGUGUGUGAAUAUGUGUAAUUGUUAAACUUGAGAUAUUAAACUACAUUAAGUUGUGAUAUUAAACCCUAAAAGUUGAGAUAUUCAACCUCAUAAAUUGAAUUAAAGAUGCAAUGAAUUCAUGUGGAUCCGAUCCGGAUCGGUCUAAACUCGAUCCACAUUAAAUCCAUUCAUGUAGGUUGAUAUUGGAUCCGGUUCCUUUUGCAUCCGAUCCACAUGGAUCCGGAUCGGAUCCGGUCCAAGUUGAGAAAUUGCCACCCCUACAUAUGAGUCACCUCAUCUCCUCUUGCUUGGGAAUGGGAAUUCUGAUUUAUAACUGUAAGUUCUUGGUGUGAUGAAAAUUGAACAUAAACAUUUCUUCCCCUAUAAGCACGAUAAGAAAGUUCAGUAACAGACUAGAUAACAGCAAAAAUAAGGUGAAGAUUUUCCAUACUGAAAUUGAAAACAUUAUUUUUCAUUAUACCUUAUGCUCGGCUGAACAUUAGAGUAAAAUUGCAAGGCGUUUACUGCUGAAGUGAUUUUUUUUUUUUUUUUUUUUUUUGUUGAUCGUAAUUGUUCUGUCACUGACAGUAUAUUAACGUAAUUAUACUGUCAAUGAUAGUUAAUUAACGUAAUUGUACUGCCGUUGACAAUAAAUUUAUGUAAUUAUGCUGCCUUUGACAGUAAAUUAAUGUAAUAUUAUUAUUUUUUAUUUUUUGUUAUUUUUUUUUAUUUUGUUUGAUUUGUUGACCAGUCAACGUAAUUAUAUUACUGUCGUUGACAGUAAAAUAACUGUAAACACAAUAAUAUUACUGUCAACAACAUCAAUAUUAUUAUUUUUUUGGGUUUUUUGUUUUGUUUGAGUUAUUCACGGAGUAACGUAAUAAUAUUACUGUCUAUUAUUGUAAUAUUACUGUAAACACAUUACAAUAUUACUGUAGUUGAUGGUAAUAUUACUGUUGUUAUAGUAAUAUUGUUGUCAACCACAUCAAUAUUAUUAUUUUGUUUGAAUUUUUUUGUUUGUUUGAGUUAUUCACGGAGUAACGUAAUAAUAUUACUGUCUAUUAUUGUAAUAUUAAUGUGGUUGACGGUAAUAUUACUGUUGUUAUUGUAAUAUUACUGUCACUCACAGUAAUAUUAAUUCUUUUGGCUUUUUAUUAUGUUUACAUUUGUUGAACGGUCAACAUAGUAAUAUUACUCUAUUACACAAUAAUAAUGAGUUUUGUUGUGUUAAUAUUUCUGUUCUAGAGAUUAAUAUAGCUUACUGUGUUAAACUGUAGUUUAGUUAAUUUUACUGUGUUUAACAGUAAUAUAGUUAAUAUUACUGUCAAUUACAACAAUAUUGCUGUUUAAACGAAAAAAAAUGUUUCGGAAAGAAGAAAAAAAAAUCGAAAAAGUCAACGCCGGAAACUGGCGAAAAAAUCCGGAUGAAAAGAAAAAAAAAAUUGAAAAAAAAAAUUACGUCAAAAUUGAAUAAUUUGUGAAAUUUGGGGUCAAGUUGAAGUUAAGGAUGAAAUUGGAGCAUAUUAAAAUAUGAGGGGCUAUUUUAGUCAUUUACAAAAAUCCGAACCAUAUGUGGACUUAUUAGUAAAUGAAUUUUUUGUCUAGAUCUCUUUAUUAAUAAGUACCCAUUGAUGGACUUAUUUGUAAUGACCCCUAUUUUAAAUUUCAUUGUUGAAUUGGCUGGAAAGACAACUAAAUUAUUAUACCUAUAAAAAAAAAGACAACUAAAUUAUGUAAAAGAAAUAUUAAAUUAUGUAUUUCUUUAUCUUGUAAUUAUUUUUAAAUAUCUAUACUUAUUUUGAUUUCUAAAAAAUUUUAAUAACAUUUCAAUUUAAAAUGUUUACUAAAUUUUUAAUAGUAUUUUAAUAUCUAUACAAUCAAAAUAAAGGGGUUUGCUCUUACCAGUGCGGUUUUUACCACUAAUAAUUCAUUUUUUUUUUCUUUUCCAAAUCUUAUCCAAAUCCCCUCUCAAACACUCUCAACCUUUUAUUCUUGAAUUUUUUCAAUUUUAGUAAUUUUUCGACCAAUAUCAGUUAGAGCACAAGUAUUAUCGACAUGGAUGACAACGACUUCGAUUUUGAGGUGAAAAUACACAUUUUUUGUUCAUUUCCAAUGUUUUUAGACAUUUCGUGUUAUAACACACGAAAUAUAUGGUUUCAUUUCGUGUAAUACUAUACGAAAUAUGUCUUAAAAUCGUUUGUUGCUUGUUUCGUAGACAAUCAUACGAAAUUGAAGCUUACAUUUCGUGGUAAAACCUACGAAAUGAAAGCUCUUAUUUCGUGUGUGUUUACACGAAAUGUAGCUUACAUUUCGUAUGUUUUUCUACGAAAUCCCUUAAAUAUUGUCUUUUAAUUUUAAAUAUUUAUGCAGGAACUAAGAGAACAAUCUCACGAUCAUAGUCACUGAACGUGGUAUUGUGUGUGAUAGUAGAGACGCGUUAAUUAUGUGGGCAAAAGACACAACAAUUAGUCAUAAUCAUCGACUGAUUAAUCAUUGUAAAUCAGAAAAAUAUCAUGUUUUAACGUGUGCAAGAUAUCAAUCUGGACGACACGUACUAUUGAAGAAACGUUCUUGUCCGUUCAGGUUAAUUGGCAAAAAAUCAACGGAGGAUGGAUUAUGGCGAUUGAGUGUGAGUAAUGAUAAUCAUAACCAUCUGCCGGGUAAUGGUAAUCAUAAUUAUCUGCCGGGUAUUUGAAAGUUUAACUUAUGUUUAAAUUUGUAUUUGUUUUAGUUUUGCAUUCAAACUUAUGUCUUGGAAUAUUUAAAGUUGUAGCGUUGUGUUUUGCAUUUUAUAUGUUUAACCUAUGUUUUUGGAAUGAUUAAAUUUGUAAGGUUAUUUGUAAGGUUGUUUAAAUAUGUACUUUAAUUGCUUCAGUUGUACGUAGUUUCUAAAUUCAAAUCAUAAAACUAGUGAAUUAAAAUACAAAACAACAAACUAGUAAAUUAAAUUGUUCAUAAUAAUAAUAAACAAAAUUAGUAAAAUAAUUAGUUCCUAAUAAAAAUAAAAUCCGAUAAACUACCGCCUCGCUCUCCUCGGCGGCUGCAUCUCAUGAUCGUCGUCGUCAUCGUCGUCGUCGUUGUCGUUGUCAUGGUCGAUGCCAAUAUAUCGGGCGGCGGGCUGCAUAAUAUCUCCAAGAUCGGCACGUAGAGCGGCAAACUGCUGCAUCCAGUCAUGUCCAGUGCUCCUGGUGAUCGGGUACAGUGCACAUACUAUCUGGUAAUAAGCCGGCUGAUCUGGUGGCCUCACAUUCUCUCGAUGCACUGGAGCCGGGCCUACGUCGGGGUUGUUGAUCUUCGGAUGAGUCCGAUCGGUGUACCACUCCAUGUAGUGCUCGUCGACUUCCCCCGUUGUCGUGCCGUCUUGUAUGCGUUGGCACGAAUGGAAUGAGCCUGGACCAUGUCCCACAUCCCACCCGGAAAUGGGUAGUUGACUUUGUAGGAUGUACCUCCUUUGGGACCGCGUGAACAUGGCUCCAUCGAUGGAAUCAAGCCGCGCGGUAUAUCCUGAACCCACCCGAACUGUCGGACGCAACGAUCAGGCAUAUACGGCUCUACGACCCACAUGUACUGGAUCGUGCCAUGAUACAACGUACGAGGGAUACUCUCGUGUAUAUCCCGACCAUACGGUAGCCACUCGACCUAAACAGAAAACAAUAUAAAUACAUAAAUCAAAAAAUUCAUAUUUAAACAAACUACAAACAUAAACCGAAAAAUUCAUAUUUAAAAAAAUAUAAAUACAUAAAUAUAAAAGACUUACAUCAUCCGCUGUCAUAUUGUCGAGUAAACCUCGAAUAUGCUCGAGCGUGCCCGCUUUUGACGGCACGUUCCACCUCUUGCAUCGAGGCUGAAACUCGCGGUAGCGCUCGCUCUCCUCCGGCGGCUGGAAUCUCGGGAAAUACUCGUAUAUCCAGCACUGCAAUAUUUUAUUUAAAGAUAUUAAAAUUUAUUAAAAUAUUUAAAAUUUACAAAAUAUAUUAAAAUUUAUUAAAAUAUAUUAAAAUGAACAAAAUAAGUUCAAAAUAUAUUAAAAUUUACCUGAAGAAGGGUGGUGCAACCCGCCAAGCCCUCGACUGUGCUCGGCUGCAUAUACCCAACUCUCUGUAUAGAUUGGCCAAACAGGCCGAACCCCACGAAUACGUGCCGACCUGAUCAAGUACUGAAUCCUCGAGCACGUGCAUAUACCACGGCUUCACCCGAUCACAUGUCUUGUCGGGGAAUAAAAUAUAUCCGAGGAGAAACACCAUGUAUAUCUGAACUCGGCGUCUCAUGGGCGUGUCGGGCAUCAACAACUGUCCCUGUAUCAUCCUCCAUGUGGGGCCCCCACGCUUCCAUGACUCGUCAAUCUCCUCAAACUCGGGGUUUAAUACCUCGGACAGCAAAUACACGAGUUUGUCCGCUCGAUGACCUCGUCGUACCUAGGCGCGACCACCCGUCCCUCCACAUUGGCACCUAGAAUCAUUUGGACAUCGUGGAGAGUGAUAGUCAUCUCUCCCCACGGCAUAUGGAAGCUGUGUUCGUCUCCGGCUGCCACCGCUCCACGAAUGCAAACAACAACGGAGUAUCUAGGCCCGGUAAAUAACAUCGGGCUAGGGGAUACAAAACGGUCAUCCACAGAAAAUGCUUGUCUACGGAUACAUCUAUGUCUUCUAGGGCAGCUGCUAUCUUCUCGUAGUUGAAUUGGUUCAGGGAGUUGAUACGGGACUCCACUCGUGCAACCGGACGUUCCUGCAAUCAUUUAUUUAGAAAACAUAUUAAUUAAUCAACUAUAAAAGUAUUUUAAUAUAAGAUACAAAAAUUAUAAUAUUAAAAUUAAAAUAAGUAAUUAACUUACUUCUCCCCUCCAAAUAUAUGCCGCUACGUGCGACUUGAAACUCGGUAUCAAAGACAGAUCCUGCGGGCCACCGGGAAACGGACCAUCUAGCACAUCUGGAUUGACUCGAGUAUGAGGUCGACCACCACGACCUCCACGGCCCCGUCCUCGGCCUCCACGACCUCAACGAGCUACAACCUCAGUCUCGUGAACGGGGUCCACAUCAUCCUCCUCUUCUUUCUCCUCCUCCAUAGCACGAGAAGAUCCAACAUCGGGAUGUGGAACUGAUGAUCUGGCUUCACCAGCUCUCUCAGCCUCUCGCCUACGUCGUGUAGACAUAGUCAUGCGCUCGCGCUCGCGCUCUUGAUGUUCAGCCUCUUCACGAACUGCUCGCGUAAUUGCCCUUGAUUUCCCUUUGCAUGCCAUCUGUUAAAUAAAACACUAUUAACGUCAGUCUAAAUAAUAAUAAUAAAUAAAACAAAUCUUAAAAAAAAAACCGAAUCGUGCUAUUUCGUGGAAAAACACACGAAAUUAGUGCUUCCAUUUCGUGUAAGAACACACGAAAUACAAGCACUAAUUUCAUGUGUUUGUCCACGAAAUGACAGUAAAACUGCCAAAACACAUACGUUUCGUGCACAAUUAUNNNNNNNNNNNNNNNNNNNNNNNNNNNNNNNNNNNNNNNNNNNNNNNNNNNNNNNNNNNNNNNNNNNNNNNNNNNNNNNNNNNNNNNNNNNNNNNNNNNNAAAACAAACAAAUAAGCUAAUUUCGUGUAAAAACUCACGAAAUUAGCCCCUUAAUUUUGUGAGUUUCUACACGAAACGUAACUUUAUUUCCGAAAAGUUUCGAAUGUUUUCAAAAUACUGAAAACGUAUAGAUUUUCGACGAAAUUUGUUAAUAUACUACUAUAAAACAUUGGGUUAACGAUUUCGAGUUCGAAUUUUACCUUAAAUCGUUGUUGAAUUGCUCGUUUAAUCCGCAAGAACUCGAAAAACCUUGGAUAGAGUUUGAGAGGAUUUUGAAUUUUCUUAAGAAAAGUUACAAAUGAAAUAAAGUCGCACUGCAAGCUGGUAAAAGUUGUUCUAUGAAUAGCAUUUCAGUAUUAAAAAUAAGAAAAAAUCAGAAAAAGAAACAAACAAAGAGAAUUCUGGAAACUUUUCGCCGCUGCCAUCUCCGACAACACCGCCACCGUUUUCCCACUUCGAAAUUCAAUCCCAAGAGACAACAAAUCAAAAAUUUCAAUCUCUUUCUUUAACCAGAUUCAGAAAAAGAAAAAAAAAAAAGAAAAAGAUUUGAGCUUCUGCAAACCCAGCAACAACCCAAAAAAAUAAAAUUCCACAAAAAUUCGUCGAAUAUCAACGCAGAUUCCUCCUAAAGUUAUGUAUGCAGAGAAGAUUUGACAUGUGGUGGAUAAAGGCUCGAAUGUCAGCUUGUAAUUGGGGUUGUAGGUCUUGACUGGGCCCGAAUUCGAGCCGCCACCGCCGACGAGGAGGAGCUUCCAAAUCAGCGUGAAGAAGAAGAUUAAUUGCUCCGAAGUCCUUACUGAUUUUGACUAAUUAUUAACCCGAUCUUCCAAUUCAUACGAUUAACAAUAACAUAAAAGCACAUAAAGUGGCCAGUUUCAUGAACUUAAUAAAACAAGUAGAAGAAAUAAUCCAGAAUUAUAACUUUAAAAAUAUAAAAUUGGGUUCAUAAAUCCAACAUAGGGUUCAAAAUAAAAUUCUAGAAAUAAGUAAAUUAGCUACUCAUGAUUAAAGUAAAAACGCAAAUAAAAUAAAUCAUAUACGAUAAAUCUAUGCUCGGAGUCUUCGAGUUCUUCGUUAUUGCUUUGUUGCUCUUGAAAUUGCGUAAAAGAUCGAUCCCCAAUUGUGUGCAAUUAAAAUCUCUUCACUGCUCGGAGGCUUGGUCUUAUAUAGGGUGGAAAACUUGGAGAAUAAGUCAGUUUCCUUGUGCAAUUAAAAUCUCUUCACUGUGCCUCUUCGUAAUCUCGGACGGCCGUCCCGAAUUUUGUACUAGAACUUGGAAGGCCGUCUAGGCUAUAAAUCUUCAGAUUUUUGACUUCUUUACUUUUGGCCCAUAUUUUCUCUAAAAUUGCAACUUUUGCCCAAUACUUUUCCAAUUCUUCAAUUUGUACACAUAAUACAAUAAAUCAACAUUUUAAGCACCAAUUUUCAUUAAAACACACCAAAAGCUCCAAUUAAAAGGUACGAUUAAGUGAAAAAAUAUACAUUUAAACACACCCCCAAACUUGAACUUUUGCUUGUCCUCAAACAAAAAUCUACUCAUAAGCAACUAACUCAACUAUUACAUCUCAUUACAUAGAUCAAUGAUCAACUUCACGUUUUCAGAACUUGUAAUUAUAAUGACAAUUCUUAGGCAUUCGCAAGCUCAAAAUUCAACAGCACUAAGUCACUCACCAUUUCCAAAAACCACAAAUCAUACAAUUGCUUCAAGCAUCCAAUAUUAGCAAAUUAAAGAUAGAAAGAAUUUAUACCUCAAUGCAUAUGUUUGACUCCAAAUACUCACCAAAUUAUUCUACUCUACUAAUAUCAAACAUUAAGCUAUUGGGAUCAUUGGGGGUUUUUGGCUUUCAAUUGUUAGGCUCUUUGGUUCGAGGUAGGAAAUAUGGGUAUAUGUGGCUAUUCUUCUUGAAUUGAGGUGAUUACGCCAAAAUUUGAAAGAUAGGCGUUUGAAACAAUGAAUUCACCUCUAAGGACUUUAAUAAACUCGAUUCUUAAGAGUUCAAAAGUCUCCACUUUUUCUCUUAAGAUAAUGGAUCGAGCUUUCAAAAUAAUUCAACAACUAGUCCUUACUUCUCCCUUCUCGUCUCUUCUUCUUCUUCUUCUUUUUUUUCCUAAGAAGAAGAAGGACCUUAUAAAAAAUUUCGACCGAACUCCAAGGGGUAAUUUUUCAAGAAUCUCCACUUUUCUACCUUAUACACUUUGGCUAAAAGAAAGAACACAUUUUCUCCGAUGCUGAAAUCAAGGUUCUAAGGAUAAUUUUGAUAAAAAAAAACGGCUUGAAAGGCUCAAACGGUUCAAAGAAGGCCCAAAUCAUAUCCCAAAUCACUCACUACUCAAUACUUCGUAUCAUAAAUUUCCUAAGGUGACGUUUAAAACCGAACAUAGCAUGAUCUAGCAUAAAUUAAUUCCAAAUUUAAAAUACAAAAGCAAUGCACAAAGUGUGAUUCCUAGCAAUAAUUUAUUUCUAAGUUCCGUUGAAUCGAAAGCUAAACAAACAUCUAAUCCUUAUCACACAAAACAAAUAAUCUCAUCAUCAAACAUUGAUCAUCUCUCAUCAUCAUAAUUCAUCGAUGCAUUCGACUCAAGUCAAGAAAAAGGACGGUUAGUGGAGCCAAGAAAGUAUUUCUCAAACCGAUUUUGUGCAAUUUGAUCCAACAUAAUAAAUGCAUCCGAUAUUGAUUGAUUCAUAAAUUUACCCCCGUGACGAAAGAUAAGAAAUUGCAAGGGAACGAGAUGAUCCAACUCACCAAGCAAUGCAGUGCAAUUCUUACUCGGCCCCUUCCACAAAAACUCGGCGAUCCAGGUAAGUUUACUAUUCCUUGUACUAUAGGAGGUGAAAAUUUUAGAUCGCUCAUUGAUUUAGGCGCUAGCAUUAAUCUCAUGUCUUAUUCCACUUUUAAAAAUCUUGGGUCAGGAGAAAUUGAACCAACGGCUAUAACUCUUCAAUUAGUCGAUAGAUCUUUGGUUUACCCAAAAGGUAUUUUAGAGAAUGUGCUAGUGAAAGUUAAUAAAUUUAUCUUCCCUGUCGAUUUCGUUAUACUUAAUAUAGAUGAGGAUAGGGAGAUACCUCUUAUCGUAGGGAGACCGUUUUUAGCCACGUCGAAAACUCUUAUUGAUUGUGCUAGUGGUGAUCUUACAAUGACAGUGCAUGAUCAAACAAUCAAAUUCAAUGUUUUUAGUGCUAAUAAAAAUCCGUGUGAUAAUAAUGAGUGUUUUUCUAUUGAGCUUAUGGAUUUUACAAAUCAUGAAAAUUUUGAUGUUUUGAUCUUGGACCAUAGGAAAGCAUCUUUGAGUGCAGGAGAUGAUGGCGGAAACGGGAGUCAGACGGAGCAAGUUUAUUUUGUGAACUCAAUUUCUACUCCUCCGAGAGAAAGUCAUGAGAGUUGGGGUCCUAACGACGAUAAAAGUGCAAGGAGGAUGUUGCCACCCAAAGAAUCGAGCAAGCCACGGGAGAAGGAUGAGUCAAGCCAUUGGGGUCGUAAGGAUAACGUCAAAAAAAAUUGCACAAAGGACAAUUGGUGUUAUUGUGCGAAUCCCGACUUUGGUCCUUCCCAAGGAAGCGCAAAUCAAAGUGGUCGGAGCCAUUUAUUGUCCAAGAGAUUCUUCCUCACGAAGUAAUCAAAAUAAAGGAGCGAGAUUCGAAUCAUACGUUCAACGUGAAGCGGAGCGGGCUCAAACCGUAUUGGGAAGCGAGUGAAGAUUGCCAAGUGACUUCGCUCACUUUUGCUUGAAAAUAAAGAAGCAACGUCCGGCUGAAGACUUAAAACUUAGCGCUUCUCGGGAGGCAACCCAAGCUUUCUUUAUUGUUUUCCGUAGUUUUCUUUAUUUUUUCGUUUUGUUUUUAUUUUUUAUAGGCAUGCAUUGUAAUUAAUCUAUUUUAAAUUUUAAUUUUCAGGGUCGAAAACAUGAUCAGGGGGUCCAGACGGCCGUCCGAAAUUACAAGCAAAAUCCCAGACGACCGUCUGGGAAACAGAAGGCUAAAAUCAGCAGCAUAACAUGUGAGACGACCAUCCGAGAAUAUGGCUUAAAUCUCAGACGACCGUCUGGCUUCCAGUGGUGAAACAGAAGCUUCGGACGCCGUCCGAAAAAUAGUGUAAAAACCGGGACGACCGUCUGAACAUACUGUGAGGCAUAUUAAAAAAAAAUCAGAUUAUUUCCACCACAAUUUCUCAAACCCUUCUCCUUCUUUCUCUCAAACUCCCGCACACAACUUUCGAAUUUUUUAAUUUCCCUCCCAAAAAUUCAUCAAUUUCACACACAUAAUUCAAUCACGAACUCUCCAAUUUUUCUUUUUUGUUGGUAUUGACAGAGAGGUUAGAGAAUCGAAUCGUAUCUUAAAAAAUUAUACUUAUUCAAGGCACGCCCACAAGGUGUUCGACAAAUUGCUCCAACCAAAUUUGGGGGUCGAUACUCGUCCAAUUCUCACCGAAUCUGUUCCAAAAGAUCUCCCAACUAUGUCGUCCAACAAAAUAGGCCGAACGAGUGAAGCUUCAUCUUCCAAAGGCAAAGGAAAAGGCAAGAAAGGUUCCACCAAAACGACGAUUCAUUUCCCCGAAAAGGAAGCCUUUAGUGUCGAAGGCGCCGUGGCCCUAUUCGAUAAACAAGCCAAUAAGACCGUCAUCAUGGAGCGAGCUUUGACAAUCACCUUACCACACUUCGCCAACCUUAAUCAAGAGAUUAUACGACGAGGUUGGCAAAAGUUGUGUGAACCGGAGCAAAUUUACAAUAUCUCAGUCGUCCGAGAGUUUUAUGCUAAUACGUUGGCAAUCAAGCAUCCAUUUCAUGCCACAAGUGUAGUACGAAAAAUACAUGUCACGUGGGGGGCGAAUGAUAUCAACCAAAACUACGGAUUCCCGUACUUGAGUCAAAGAUGGGGAGAGAUGAGAGAUGCAGUCACCAAAGAGCAAAUUGGGGAAGUGUUGACUGAUGGAUAUCCAACGUGGAUUGAAUAUCCGGACAAGGGGACGUACGAGCUCAAUUGGAAGAGUAUCAAUUAUGAAGGCAAGGCAUGGUUGACGUUCAUUUGCGCCAACGUGAUCCCGACUACCUCCUUUAGUCGGACCAACCACGAACGUUGUGCUCUCGCCUAUUACAUCAUCACGGGUCAGACAAUCGAUGUCGGGGCAAUUAUGCACGAUCAACUUUGGCGGACCAUGCGCAACAACUCCAAGGGAAUCUUCUUCCCUAGUCUCGUCACGGGAUUGUGCAAAAGAAAGAGGGUCCCCAAGCUACCGAACGAUAUCGAGCUCAACAUCCGGAAGCCGAUAGCCAAUUUUGCGGCCUCGCAAUUCAAAGAAGCAACCCAUAACGAGCCACAAGCCUUAGCCGAAAUUGCAGCCGCUCCUUAAGCCCGGAACGACCCCAAAGCCUCAACCACUCGUGCCGAUCGACGACUCCGAAAGAAGAUGGAGCGCGAGAUGAUACUUACGAGGAACCGGUUGACUACCGUCGAGCAUAAAGUCAACACGGUAGAGGAACUUCAAAGGUGGUCGAGCAAGAUGUUACAAGCUAUUGUCCAACACCUGGGAUGCGGGACACCCGAUUGUAUCGAGCCGGCAUCCAUUCUUGAGCCCGUACCCCAACCUUUCCGAUGACGAGGAGCGUGAGAGAGCUAGGGAGGAGCACCCCGAUCACAUCGACUCCGAUUAGCCAGGUGUUUUCUAUCCUUAAAACUUUGUGCCAAUUUCUUGAGGGCAAUGGAAAUUUUAAGUUUUGGUGUGAAAAAACAUGUUUUUGUGUUUAUUUGCUUAAGUUUGCAUGCAUUAGGUUUUAUUUAUUUUUAUUGCUUUUAUCGUUUUUCCGAAAUAUAAAAAAAAAAAAAAGAUUUUUUUUUUGCUUGGGUCGAAUGCAUCGAUGAAUUAUGAUGAUGAGAGAUGAUCAAUGUUUGAUGAUGAGAUUGCUUGUUUUGUGUGAUAAAGAUCAGAUGUUUGUUUAGCUUUCGAUUUAACGGAACUUAGAAACAAAUUAUUGUUAGGAAUCACACUUUGUGCUUUGCUUUGGUUGAAUGUUUUGUAUUUUAAAUUUGAAAUUAAUUUGUGCUAGAUCAUGCUAUGUUCGGUUUUAAACCUCACCUUAGGAAAUGUAUGAUACGAAGUAAUGAGUAGUAAGUGGUUUGGGAUAUGAUUUGGGCCUUCUUUGAACCGUUUGAGCCUUUCAAGCCGACUUUUUUAUCGAAAUUAUCCUUAGAACAUUGAUUUGAGCCUCGGAGAAAAUGUGUUCUUUCUUUUAGCCAAAGUGUAUAAGGUAGAAAAGUGGAGAUUCUUGAAAAAUUACCCCUUGGAGUUCGGUCGAAAUUUUUUAUAAGGUCCUUCUUCUUCUUCUUCGAAAAAAAAAAAAGAGACGAGAAGGGAGAAGUAAGGACUAGUAGUUGAAUUGUUUUGAAAGCUCGGUCCAUUGUCUUGAGAGCAAAAGUGGAGACUUUUGAACUCUUAAGAAUCGAGUUUAUUAAAUUUCUUAGAGGUGGAUUCAUUGUUUCAAACGCCUAUCUUUCAAAUUUUGGCGUAAUCACCUCAAUUCAAGAAGAAUAGCCACAUAUACCCAUAUUUCCUAUCUCGAACCAAAGAGCCUAACAAUUGAAAGCCAAAAAGCCCCAAUGAUCCCAAUAGCUUAAUGUUUGAUAUUAGUAGAGUAGAAUCAUUUGGUGAGUAUUUGGAGUCAAACAUAUACAUGUAGGUAUAAAUUCUUUCUAUCUUUAAUUUGCAAAUAUUGGUGCUUGAAGCAAUUGUAUGAUUUGUGGUUUUUGGAAAUGGUGAGUGACUAAGUGCUAUUGAAUUUUGAGCUUGCGAAUGCCUAAGAAUUGUCAUUAUAAUUACAAGUUCUGAAAACGUGAAGUUGAUCAUUGAUUAUGUAAUGAGAUGUAGUAGUUGAGUUAUUUGCUUAUGAGUAGAUUUUUGUUUGAGUACAAGCAAAAGUUCAAGUUUGGGGGUGUGUUAAGUGUAUAUUUUUUCACUUAAUCAUACCUUUUAAUUGGAGCUUUUGGUGUGUUGUAAUGAAAAUUGGUGCUUAAAAUGUUGAUUUAUUGUAUUAUAUGUACAAAUUGAAUAAUUGGAAAAGUGUAGGGUAAAAACUGCAAUUUUGGAGAAAAUAUGGGCCAAAAGUGAAGAAGUCAAAAUCUGAAGAUGUAUAGCCCAGACGGCAUGUCCGAGUUCUAGUACAAAAUUCGGGACGGACGUUACGAAGAGGCGCACUAAAGGGAUUUUAAUUGCACAAGGAAACUGGCUUAUUCUCCAAGUUUUCCACCCUAUAUAAGACCAAGCCAAGCACACAAUUGGGGGUCGAACUUUUACGCAAUUUCAAGAGCAACAAAGUAAUAACGAAGACGAAGAACUCGAAGACUCCGAGCAUAGAUUUAUCGUUUAUGAUUUAUUUUAUUUGCGUUUUUACUUUAAUCAUGAGUAGCUGAUUUACUUAUUUCUAGGAUUUUAUUUUGAACCCUAUGUGGGAUUUAUGAACCCAAUUUUAUAAUUUUAUGCAAGUUUUAAUUCCGGAUUAUUUCUUCUACUUGUUUUAUUAAGUUCAUGAAACUGGACACUUUAUGUACUUUUAUGUUAUUGUUAAUCGCAUGAAAGAUCGGGUUAAUAAUUAGAACUGUGGUAGAAGAGCCUUUGUGGCAUUAACAGAGGAAUAUAGUUAAUCUCUUAGGUAGCCAUUAUUGAUAUUUGUGCUUAAUGAUGUGUUCUAGAAUUAAUUGCGUAGGAAUACAGUAAUUGAAUCUAGAGUAUUAGAAUCGUAAUACACGCGGAAGCGGGUUAUGAUUAAUUUAGCAUCUCAGAUUAAUAAUCAGGGUUAUUUGCUUGCAUAAUUGAAGGAAUUGGAGGAGUAAUUAUCACAUAAUGGGAAGAAUAAAAUCUUAGGCUUGUUUACUCUAAUAAAUCUUCGUUUUAAAUUGCUUUCUUGCUUUGUCUUUUUAAUUUGCUUAAUUUAGUUUAGUUAAUAUAGUUUAUUAAUCCUCUCUCGACUGUGUAGGGUGGGCUUGAUAAUAAUUGCUAGGAUUUAGCGUCUAGGAUUAAAUAAUUAAAUAUUCUUUGUGGGUUCGAUAUCCGGACAUAAUUGUCCACUAUAUUACUUGUACGAUACGUGCACUUGCGUGUAGGUAUUACAACCAACAAUCGUGCCCCUUGUCAGACAUGUGGGUCGUAAGUAUGUAAGGACCGUGGCCACGUUUUAAAUGUAGGGACCCAAUGAAAACAGAUAGAGAAGUUUGUGAAAUCAAGCUGGCCAUGUUAUAUAGAUCAUCAUAACAUCUCUAAGUGUUCUCAUGGUUAAUGUUGACUUGGAUGGAUAAUUGUGUUGUGGAAGAGCAAUAAUUACGAGGGUAAGGAAAAGAACUUGCUUUAUUCAUUGAUUGAAAAUCUGAAUGUUACAAGCCUACUUGAGGCGGAUGAAAAUAAUCAUGUAGAGAGCGAAUAGCUUGAAAUACUUAAACUGUAGGAUAGCCCCCCAAUUUAUGAUGAUGCGAUCACCAGUUAUGUUACGGGCUCGAGAGGCUCCAAGUGUCAUUGAUCAUUGGAAGUCCAGAGACGUAGAAGGGGAUCGUCCACGAGAACGAUUGUCGUCGGUUAUCUCGUCACCGGGUGUUGAAGUGAUCUUCAUCUCUUUUCCUCUUGGGAUGAGCGAGGGCCGAAGCCUCUUUGAUGUGCACGUAUUUCUCAGCGCGACUUAAUAACUCUUCCAGAGUGGCUGGAGGUCUUUCUGCGAUAGAUUCUUUGAAUCUGCCUUGCUUUUUGUUUUGUUAAAUGAUUCCAGAGAGCAUGAUUCCUCCCACUUUAAGAAUUUCGUGGCUGUCUCUACAAAUCGUUGAAUGUAGUUGCGGAGGGUUUCGCCCUCUCUCUGGGCGAUAGUGAAGAGGUACGCGGGUGUCUUAGUGCAACACCCCGUAAUUUAUGCAAGAAUCUAUUGUAGUAAAUAAUAAUAUUUGGGGCUGACGUGUUACUAAGGGAUAAUAUUGGGGCAUAAGCAUAAAUACUAAUUCUCUAAUUUAGCAAACUUGGCCAUUAAGCAAUUGAGGGGCUCGUUUAAUCGGAUAAUUUAGUGUUAUUAACCAAGGAAAUUAGGAGAGAGACGCGUGUCGUACGAGUCAUCAUCCUUCUUCUUCUUAUCCGAUCAGUUUCUCUUCUCUUCGUUUCUUUAUAUACUCAAAUAGUUCAUCACUCUCUCAUUAUCUCUCUCGCCUGCUCUCUCCUCUCUCUCUAUUGAUUCUUGACUGGAAUAGCAGAAAAUUGUUGAAAAAAUCAAGUUCUAUGAGAGAGUUUUGAGUAAUUAAGCUUAGGUUGAAGAAUUGAGAGAUUAAAGAAGAAAGCCCCAAAUUGAUUCUUCAAAGAGAGAGUUGCAAGAAGGUUUUAUCAAUGGAUUUUUUACGAUCCGAAAGUACCAUUGGGAUACUUGAGAAGCCAGCUUCCUGAUGGGGUGAAUUUCGCCGGCGGAGGUCACUGGUGGUCGCCGGAAUCCGGCAAAAAGUUGUAGAGCAGCUCGAAAAUUAUAGGAAUAUCAUCUUUUCCCCAAAUUUUAAUUAUUAUAUAUAACCAAAUUUAACCCGACAGCUAUGUUGGCGAAAUUCGGAGAGAUAGUAAAUCUGCUACCGCACCUGUUUUUUGAGCCAAAAUCGAAGGAACGGGAGUGAGAUUUAAGAAUAAUUCCUUCACAAAACUCGUAGAGGAACUCAAAAACUAUUGGUAAGUGUUAAAUUGUGUCGAGUUAGAGUAUGUUUUAUAGCUGAUUAGAGGUCCGAAUCAAGUGACAGUAAAUCUGUAAAAAAGAACAGGGCAGUUUUGAGCAUUCGUAUUACGGGGUUGUUUAUGCUAUGUUGGAGUAAUAAUUUGGGAUAUGUUUCUUCAGUUAACUUUUAGAUGAAUUUUUCAGCUUUGAUUUGGUAUAUUGUUUGGCCAAUUUUGAUAACUUUACAAAUAGUUAUGAAUUUUACAAUAAACUGCACUCGAAAAGAGAAUUUAUCCAAAAUUCUGGCUGAUUUCUGUAAUCAUCUUUUGGGGCUGUUUUGAAUAUGUUGGGAUCACAAAUUGUGAUCGAGUCUUCAGUGAACAUGUUGUUGGAACUUUCAUGAUUUCCAAUAAUUAAUAUUGAGUAAUAUUAAUUAAAUUAUGUAAAGAUUAAUUUCAUUUAUUUACUUGAUCAUAAUCAUGAAGUAAAGUGAAUGAAAAUUGUCUUGAUUAAAUGGUUAAAGUUCAAAAGAUGUGCGCUCGAUAUGAUCGAGUGAUAGGACUAGUUUAGGUUUAGGUGUCCACAAUUAUUACUUUUGGGGACAUUUAGUAAUUAGUCAAAUUAGUUGAUAGUUUGGGUUUAGGUGUCCACAAUUAUUACUUUUGGGGACAUUUAGUAAUUAGUCAAAUUAGUUGAUCCAAAAUCUAAAUAAUAAGAUAUUGGGCCCAAACCAAAUAUUUAAUUAAUUGGCCCAUGACCAAUUCAUUUUCCUACGUUUUUCAACUCGGUGAAAAGAACAGACACAACUUUCUACUUCUUCUUCCAACCAUUGCAACCCUCUAUGAAUGGAUCUCUACCACCUAUAAAUAAAGGCAGAAUCUGGCCAAUUCUGUACUGAAUUUAAUCGACAAUUACGAGAUAGUCUUCAUAUUCUUCUUUCCCUUCGUCAAAGUUUCGUUCGUUGUUCAAGUUCGCCGUGGGUCGAAUAUUCGUGCAAAUAUUUGACAACCGAUUGUUGUACCUUGGGAGACUACCGGGAAGAGACUGUGCACCGUUGACAGCCCAUAAUUAUUGUCUUAAGGGAAUUGCUUUGGCAAGCCUCGAUCGUUCUUUGUGUUUUCCACAAUUCGUCUUUUCGAUAAACAAGUAAGUAUUUUUCGUUUACGCGGAUUGUUAUUAAUUAUACCAACACAUGUGGAUGCAGUUAUUAGCUUUCAUUUGGCAUAUUACUUUCCCAAUUUGGAUAAUCGUACCAAUUGUUAUGAUUUUUCAAAGAAAUUGUGGACACAGAUAUUUUAAACCUUUGUUUCGAGAACUCGUCAAAACAAACACGAGUUAACUCCGUACCAUGUGAAUUGAUGCCUGGAGUGGGUUGUAUUUGGUAAAUAGAACGCCAUAGAAAUUGUAUAUUAUGUUCGAUUGUCGGUUAUGGCAUAAGAUUUAAGUUAGGAUGUUUAUAUGAAAUAUAAGUGGAUAGUAAACGAUUAUGUUAGCAUUCGAUAACUUAUUUAAUUCUAAUAUUUGAUAGGUGUUGAGUAUAUUUAUGCUCUCAUUCAACACUUGAGCAUGACUCGAGAAUAAGGUGUUUUUAUAGCACUUGCAUUGGACUUCAGGUGAGGAUCUCUAUUUAUUCACUAUUACUUAUUGGAAAAAUAGAAUGCACACUGAGAAUAAGAUAUCCGUUAUUGUUUCUUGAUCACUUAAAUGUGAUAUAUCUUACUUGUUGCCUAUCGUAUUAUAUUUUGAUUCUUGAAUUAUUGAAAAUAAUGAUUUAUUCAGAAUUCUCUUAAUGGUUCGUAUCUUCUUCCUCGAACUAUUCAAAUAAGUUCUCAUCUUGAUUCGAGACUUAUUCCAAUAAUUUAUCAUCCAGAUUCUUUGACUACUCAAUCGAUCUCUUUUAUCGAGUCUUGAAUAAUUUGGAGUUUCAGUCUGAUUAUCUAUCAAUUGUGAACUGUCUCAUAUAUUGACUUGUACUAGUUGGAACCACUUUUAUUUUGAUUCAUUAAAUCAUUUGAUUUGUUUCUACAGUGGUUCAAUGAAAGUAAAUCGUUCUUUUCCCAACUUUUGGACCAUUUAGGAUUAUUGCGUUUAUCCAUUAAAUCAUUCGUUGUGAAUUGAUGGACCGUUCAUAUCUUUACUUCUCAUUGAUCCUUUGAAACCACUUGUCUUUCGAGCUAUAAAACUACGGACUCUAUUUUAACCGUAGACUAUUGUUGAUUGAGAUCCAUCUUCAUCAAUUAUUAUACGAUUUUGAAUUGUGGUCACUCUCUUAUUGAAACCAGUGAUCCUACACUUCUUGACUUGUGAUUUUGUGACCACAAGAUAUUAUCACUUGUUAUUGGAAUCCCAAAACUAUUGAACUAUGAUAUUUAUUCUUUCCAAAGUGGAACCAUCAUUGGGAUUCAAACUGUAAAUUGAGAUAGUCGGAAGCAUAUCUGAUAUCUCUAUACUAUUGAUUCCUUUGGGGACGCCCUAAGGAUAAUUGAACAGUGGGCCCGGGGCUGUUCGAAAAAGACUACUGUGGGUAUUGGGGCGACGGUGUUUGGUCUCUUCGACAGUACCCAUAUUGGAUUCAGACUAUUGGCAUAGUUGGAGGUUGAUUGUGCUGAUGGAUGGAUUGGCAUGCGCCCGGGCAUGCCUAUUGAUCGAUUAGUAGGGUAGCUCCUUGAUCGGUGUUAUAAGGUUGUAACGGCUAAGGGAGUCACAAGGCAGAUACAGGUACAUAGGUACAUGUACAUGAACAAAUUAUUACCAUAGAAAUCUCCAUGGUCUCACAUUUGACAUCCAGAACUGUUACCGUUGGAAUCUCCACGAAAUAUAUAUUUGAUAUCCGGGAAUUUCCCGUUGAAAUUGUUCUCUACUUGUACAUAUUGAUUGUAUUACUUAUUCUGAUCAGAUUGUUGUGCUCUCAUACUUUGGCUUUGUAUCUUACCAAAUGAUCCUUCUCUAGAUGGUCCAAUUCCAAUAUCAUGUCCGACUUGUCCAUUGUUUUCUUAUUAUCCUUAUUACUUGAUUCCACUAUUUUUUCCUUGUACUCCUCACUAAGUCCACUUGGACUUACUCCUCCUUUAUUUUCCAUCUUAUUCUCAGUAACAGGUGCAUUAGUGGACGAUAUUGUUGAUGGCUCUUAGGAGUAGAAGUUAUUCAGAUAUUUUAGAGAUUUCAUUUAAUAUAGAGUUGUGUUUAAGAAUGAUUGUAAUUCGAGAACUAUGAAUACGAGGUUAGUUGUGGCAUUUGGUUGUCACAUGUAUUUGAUUUUAUUGUUGAGAAAUUAAGUGAGAGACAUUGUAUUUUUUGGAAGUCAUUGUAUUUAUUUAUUACAAAAACAAAUACAGUAUAGUGGGCGUCAGACUUAGCGUACUCUUUGUUGAUAGCAAAAUGACGGAUGAAACGAUCCGUCAGUUCGGAGAGAGCUUCAAUUGACCCAAUGGGCAAGGUAUUGAACCAGCUCAAUGCUUGUUCGGAGAGCGUUGUACAAAACAUCUUGCACAUCGUCGCAUUAGUUGGGCCAUAUAGUUCUGCCAUGGCGUAGAACUUUUCAAGGUGCUCAUGUAGGUCACUAGUUCCAUCGAAUUGCGGUGUACUCGAGACCUUUACCCGUUGGGGUAGUAUCUCAUUGAUUGUUGCGACAGUGAAGGGGCUUCGCCUUAUUGAAGGUAUUGCCCUUCCACCAAUAGGAUUACCUAUGCGGGGAAAGUGGUUCGAGCGAGAUAUUCGACUGUUAAUUUCAUCCUCUCCAUCAUUGUGUGGUGGAGCUCGUUGACGAGAGGCGCUGCCUCUUAGAGGUGAAUGUGGGUCUCGUCGCCCAGUUCGUGCAUCAGCGAUGAGUAGAUUGUUGCAUCCGAGACCCAGGGUUUGAGGUGGAUGCGGUAUCCGUGGCGGUGGAGGUCGUUGUGCCAUGGGUUGAGUUGCAGGGGGAGCGUUGACUCCUACUGUGGCGAUGUAAUGUGCCACUGCUUCAGUGGUAGCACGAGCUUAAGCUUCCGCAAUCAUGUGUUGGAGGGCCUCUUCGGUUAUCUGAACCGUUUGAGGAGCGGGGAGUGGUGGAUCCUGUGGGGAUUUAUCUGGACUUCACGAGGUGGAUCCUAAUUACGAGGAGGAAGUGGCAAGCCAGAGCCUCCGCGAGGUGGGAGGUUGUUAGCAUUGUCACGUUUUCUCCGAGUAGAUGACUCAGAGACAUCAUGCGCGCUACGUGAUCUUGUAUGCUUUCCCACAUACGGCGCCAUUAUGAUAAUGCUAGAAAUAAAUCACCUUAAGUAGUUGAUGUAGAAGGAGCUGGGAGAGCAAAGUGGAUCACUGCUCACAUGCUAGAUGGUCCUCAGAUACCUGUGAACAGAGGACACGUGAACUAGGCCAGGGGUCUAUACGGCGGAAACCCCUCCGACGCUACAGUCAGACGUGCGGAUAGUAGAAAUAGUUGAGAGAAUAUAAAUUGUAUUCUUUUUCAGAUAAUAGGGUGUCCCAUUAAUUAAUGAAUUAAAUCGUUAUUUAUACCUUGUCGAUUGGGCUGAGGUUAAUUUGUUGGGCCCAAACCUUAUUUGAAGGUGAUUGGACUUUCGUAAUAGUGUUUUUCUAAAUCGGUCUCGUGACCAGGUAAGUAAAGAAAUUGUAGGUUUAUUGGGCUCACCCAAUUAUAUAUAUAUAUAUAUAUAUUAAAUUAUUAAAUGAUCAUAUUAUUUCGAUAUAUUUGAAAAAACUUAAAAGAAGUGAAAUUGUUAGUAUGAGAACUAGUUCACUCGCCCAAAGACAAAGCCCAAGUAAAAGCCCAUAUUGAGCGAGGAACCUUUACUUCUCGAGAAACAGAAACUCUUUUACAGUAACAGCGGCUGGGAGAUUAAAGAGCAAGGAAGAAAAUCAAUUCAAUUUCAUCCCCUCUCUCUUUUUUAUUUUUAUUAUAUUUAUAUUAUUGUAUUAAUAUUAGUUUCCUCAUCGUUUUCCUGAAAGCCCUAGUGGUGUUUUGGAUGACCAGUGACCGUUUCUUAAGCUGUUCUUUAUCAGUUGGAAAUGGGUGCAAGUCGGAAGCUGCAGGGGGAGAUCGACCGAGUUCUCAAGAAGGUUCAAGAGGGCGUCGAUGUAUUUGAUAGCAUCUGGAACAAGGUCGCAUUAUUGAAUUUUGAAACAAGGGGAAAUCAUAAUUUUGGUUGAAUUUAUACUUUCUGUUUGUACAGGUCUAUGAUACGGACAAUGCAAAUCAGAAAGAAAAAUUCGAGGCGGACUUGAAGAAGGAGAUAAAGAAGCUACAGAGAUACAGAGACCAGAUCAAAACAUGGAUACAGUCCAGCGAGAUCAAGGAUAAGAAGGUAUAUCUACUGCUAAACUAGUACCUUAUUAUCUAAUCCCCUCGUUUUCUUUACUCUCCUAGAAUUUGUGGCUUAUUUAUUUUUAGUAUAUAUUUUUUAGCAAUCCUAAUUCCUAACUGGCAGCCUAGUUACCGUAUCAAUUUUUUUAUGAAUACAAUUUGAAGAGUUUGAACUGUCUUAUUCAAGUUGGCCAGGCUUUUCGUUUUCUUGUUUCUCAUGCAUUUAUGCACUUUAUUGAUUGUUGCUCCUACUCCUGUUCUCUUGUUGGCAUACUCUUUUGCACUUCUUUUUCGGCGAAUUGUUUUUCAUUGUUCUAUGGUGGAUUUAGUUUUAUAAUAUAUUCUUUGGUUCUUCUUGCAGUAGCUGGUAUUAUCUUCAUCUUGUCUAUGCUUAUUUCUCCGAUGUUGACAAUCAAUUUUCUUUUGAUACCUGUUGACUAGGUUAGUGCCUCUUAUGAGCAGGCUCUGAUGGACGCUCGAAAGCAAAUUGAGCGUGAAAUGGAACGAUUUAAGAUAUGUGAAAAAGAAACGAAGACAAAAGCAUUCUCAAAAGAAGGCCUAGGCCAGCAGCCUAAAACGGUAGGCAUUAUGUAGUUGUUUUGCUUCUGGAUGUUCAAAACAUCCCCAAUGCCUGUAUUCUGGUGUAAGUUUCAUUACAAUUCACAUCCUUCAGGGGUGCAACGGGUAAUUGCUGAAAAUUAAUAUUUCAAUAUAUACAAGUUGAUUAAAAUUAAUGUCAAGUGAAUAAUAUCAAUCAUCCGUCAAAAUGUAACUAUACGGUCACUUCUUUGUAAUAUAGUUGAAGAGGGAGAAAUAUCAUGGAUAUUAGGGAUUUUUUUUAUUAUAUGGGCUAUCUCGUGCAAUCAAUUUAAGCAUGUAAAGCCUGCUGGUGUUAGGUUAGUGUUUAGAAUAUUCUAACUUCUCUGAGCAUGCAUAUCUUUCUUUGCUGUAGGAUCCGAAGGAAAAAGCUAAAGGAGAAACAAGAGAUUGGUUAAAUAAUGUGGUAAUGCCCCUGAAAUUUUGCUUGCAUGUUGUUCACUUGGAUUGCAUAAGCAUAGAGGCUGUCUAGCAUGUAAAAUUAUCUCAUCCAUGUUCAUCAGUUUUCCAUCUUCCUACAUUUAACUGUAGUUUCAAUAAUUUGAUUAUUUGGCAAGUGAAGCUGUACUGGUUAAAGCCAAUGCAUAUUAUUUGAUUUUCUUUCUACUUGUCAGUUUAUUUGCAAUUGUUGUCAUGCUUUCAGUUGUUUAACUGUUCAUGUCUUGAUGAUCUCAUUGAAAGUUCAAUUAUCUGUAUAUUCUUGUCCACUAAAGUAGUUGUCAGGAGUCGAUGGCUGAAAUGUUAGGGUACUUUUGGAUAUAAAAUUGCCCCUUUAGAUUAUGGAACAUCAUAUGUUUGUGUUCCAGAGAGAAAACUAGAGCAUUUUACCGAUUCUUACUUCAGACAUUGAAUUGCAUACUGUAAUCUAUUAUUCCGCCUUCCAAAUAAGUUUUUUAAUAGUUUUUUUAAAUAUGUUAUGUUUGUAUUGAGUAGGUCAGCGAGCUGGAAAAUCAAAUUGAUAGCUUUGAAGCUGAAAUAGAGGGGCUUUCUGUUAAGAAAGGGAAGACAAGGCCUCCCAGACUGGUAUGUUUGGAAAGAAGGACAUGCGUCUUAAUUUGGAUCAACUGACUUGAGCUUAGACUAUGAAAAUAUCUGUUCUUUUUGUUAUUUUGGUUGUAGACGCAUCUGGAGACAUCCAUUGGUCGGCAUAAGGCUCAUAUUAUGAAGUUAGAAUUAAUUCUAAGGCUGUUGGACAACGAUGAAUUGAGCCCAGAGCAAGUCAAUGAUGUAAAGGAUUUCUUGGAUGACUACGUGGAAAGAAAUCAGGUACUUUUAGUCAGUUUGCGUUAAUGUCCUGUUCACACGAUUUAGCUCCCCUACAGGUUGUAUUGUCUGCGAUCUCUGAAAUGAUUAAGUCUUUACAUUUCCAAUUUUGGUUGUAGUUAUUGAGAAAUGUAAAGGUUUUUGGGUGGUUAAGCUUAAUUAUACUUUCCUUUUGACAUGCAAUAUGUAGGAGGACUUUGAUGAAUUUAGUGAUGUCGAUGAGCUUUACAGUUCUCUACCUCUGGACAAGGUGGAGUCUCUUGAAGACCUAGUUACUAUCGGUCCUCCUGGUCUUGUAAAGGUGAAUGGCUUCUCUCGUAAUUAUUUCUCUUUCAUGAACUUUAGUGUAAUUUUAUUUAUUUAUUUAGUUCUUCUCUCUGUGCGUCUCUCUAUCUUCGUUUUCCAAUAAAUUUUCUAGACAUGCCAUUCCAGUAUUUCCCAUGUUUGUGUAGAUCAUUUAUUGAGGGGUAUAUAGUUCCAAAUUGUCUUUUAGACUAUAAUACCAUUAAAAUUGAGAAAGUAAACACAUAAAUACAGAACAAAUUAGACUAGGAUUUGCGUAGCAGUCCCUUCUUUUCCUGUUGAGAUUCUUGAUUUGUACUGUCAUCAGAACAAACUUUUGUUCCUUUUCAUUAGAAAUUAAUAGGAAACAUUCAAGCUGAAAUGCUAAUCACAUUGUUUUAUUAUUGGCAGGGUGCCAGUGCCACCAGUGCAGUUUUAAAUAUGAAAACAUCUUUGGCUGCAGUACCCACUCCUCCAGUACGUUUAUUUCCAAAUACUGAGGAGGGUUUUGAUUCUAUUAGAACAAUUGAGAAAAUAGUUCAUUCAAUCAUGAAAAUGCAUAUUUACUUAGUACACUUGUCACACGAAGCAUUACAAAUUAGUAUAUUCUAGAAAGAAAUGAACUGACAGAUUAGCUGCAAAUUCAAACCCCACUUGGCUUUUAAUGAUCAACUGUUUGUUCUCUGCAUUAUUACCCAUUAUUUUUCCUCGAUCUUAACCUAUAACCUAGGCUGUUUAUUUUGAAACUUCCACUUCAUUUUGAUUAUGAAUGAUUCAUCUGCUAGAUAUAGUUUAAUAAGUCUGCAUCUGUUAUUUAUGCUAUUUCUCUUCACAUUGAGGAGUAUUAUGUUGUUUUACUACCGAACAAUGUGUGCUCUCCCACAGGACUAUAUGAGUUUGACAUCUCUUUCCUGUUCUUUUACUUCUGAUCAUCUGCAGGACUUUGACUUCUCUUUAUUCAGUCAUCUUUGCAUGGUGUUGAAAUCUAUGCUAUUUUAUAUCUCUGCUAUGAUGUAACUAGAUGGUAUCCUUUCCAGGCAACAACCUCAGCUUCCGUCCAGCAAACUCCUCCUUCCCUCGACCAGGUGGAUGAAACAGCUUUCCAGGAUGAUGCAGUUGCUAGAACUCCACCUCCUAAAAGUAGUUCCCUCAGUAUUUCUGCACCACAAACGCCAGCAUCUGGCCUUGCAGCUUCUGCCAUCACAAGUUGGUCAACUAUAACUUUGCUGGUCUAUGAGUUCCUCUCGUGUUUUUUUGGGUUAAGUUCCUAUUUUGUGCUUCUUAAAACUUAGGUGCCGGCAGUGCUUCAUCCCCAGUAGCUGUAUCAAGUCCUAUAAAAGAAGAGGAGAUCGCAAACUUCCCUGGUCGUAAAUCAUCACCAGCUCUUGCUGAAACUGGAUUAAGGGCUAUUGGUAAAGGUGGAUUGCCAAGUCAACCAACUUCUAACAUCCUUCCCAGUUCUGGAAACACAAUUUCCAGCAAUGGUACCAUUCCUUUGGGUUCUGAAAUUGGGAAAAGGAAUAUUUUGGUAUCCGAUGAUCGAUCCGCGAGCAGUGGUAUUGCACAGUCUCUUGUAUCUCCCCUAGGCAAUAGAGUAAUCUUGUCACAAGCUGCCAAGGCUAGUGAUGGACUUGGAUCAGCUGAUACUGGAAAUGUUAGCGAUGCUGCGAUUAUGGGCAGCAGGGUUUUCACUUCUCCUGUUGUUCCUGGUAUGCAGUGGAGGCCCGGAAGUUCCUUCCAGAACCAGAAUGAAGCGGUAUGUUAUUGAUUUAUUUUCUGACCUUUCAUCCCCCUCCCAUCAUUUUCGUCUUUCUUUUGAGUUUUCUGCAAGGUAUGAAGGAUUUGAUUGGAUUAUGUCAAUGGCGCAAGAAGAGAAUGACUUGGGUUCAUGUGCGCUUUAGUAUUUGAUUUAGCUCUUCCAGCACUUUAUGUUAAACCUAGAAAUUUGUAAAUAGGAGAUAUGAACUGAAUACAAAUACACUAGUACAGUGAUAAGAUUUGUUUGUUAAGAAACAAAGCAGAUACAUAUUAGGGAUUCAACUGGUAAUAGGUACAACAUAAGAAGGAGAUAGAUUGAAACAAAAAUGUGACCUAAUGGGAUGGGGAAAAGUUGAAGUAUGAUUCCAAAAGGAGAAUAUGAGGGAUGGUACUGGUCGCAUUGCUGAUAAAUUGGUUCAUUUGAUUGCUAAGACUUGAUCGUAAAACUAUUAAUCGUCUUGGAAGUAAGUUAACCUUCUGUGUCUCAGGGGCAGUUUCGUGGAAGAACCGAGAUUGCUCCCGAUCUAAGGGAGAAGUUUCUACAACGAUUUCAGCAGGUACAGCAGCAAGGUCAGACUAAUGUUCUUGGCAUGCCUCCUCUUGCUGGGGGGAAGCAGUACUCUGCUCAGCAGCAGAAUCUACUUCUACAGCAGGUGCUAUUGUUUAUUCAUCACAUUCUUCGUCUUACUCUUUUUUCUUAGCAUCUUUGGCUUAUCUUUUUACCACACAUGUGGCUGGGAAUCUGUGUCAUAAAUGUUUAAAUAUUUUUUUUUUGUGGGGGUGGGGGGUGGUGACAAUGUCUAGAAGUGGCGCCUUAGGGAUUUCUAAACUGUGGUCAUCUAAAAGAGAAUUCCACUCAUGCAACCGCUUGUGCAUAGCAAAGCACUCUCUUUGUCUAUUCUGCAUAUUUAUGACUUUCCGCAGCUCUUAGUGAAGUUUAUUUUGUAUACUAGAAUAGAUUAAAAGAGAAUAUGUCACAAAGUUUGGAAGAAAUGUUACAUUCGAUACAAUCAUCCUAAUCUUAAUAUCUGAUAUUUUUGCUGGGACAUAUUUUUUUGAAACACUUUCUAUCCCUCUAGACUCAUUGAUUUGUUGAAACUUUUUCUCACCUGUUAUAACCCCUCUCAGUUCAAUGCUCAAAGCUCGUCUAUCUCACCUCAACUCGGGAUGGGGAUAGGAGUCCAAACUUCAGGUCUUAGCAGUGUUGCAACAUCUGCUUCUCUGCAGCCACAACCGAGUGCAAUACACCAAUCAUCUAAUCAGCAGGCAGUCAUAUCUUCAACAUCUAAGGAUGCAGGUACUUUUGCUCGCUAAGACAAUGUGUACAACACUUGUAUGGUGGAGCUUGAAACAUUAAGGUGUAUUAUCAUUCACAUGUUUUGAAACAUGAUAAUACUAGGAGAUUCCAGGUCAAUUUUGGUCUAUAUGUUUUAAUUCUGACAUUUCUGGUCCCACCUCUGAUAGAAAUAGUGAAUUAUCUUAUUCCUAAGACAUAAAACGAAAUCUUAUAAAACAGAGGAUUUUGAUUGUUUAAUAUAUCUCAUACUUUUUUUGGAACCGGAGACUUCUGAACGACUAGUCUGGUACCUUUUGCUACUGUCAUACUCUGUAAAAAUAAUGGAGUUCCUUAGAUAGUUGUAAUAUAUACUUGAUAAUAUUGUCAUAAAAAAUCUCAUCUCGAAAUGGUCAAAAUGGUAUGUGAUGCGGUUUCAUUUAGAAUUAUCUUAAUUCAUUUAAAUUUGAUUUAAUUUAUCAAACGGGGUCUGGAAGUUUAACUUGAUACAAAUUUAUGCUUAUCCAAAUUGCAACAGGUUCUAAUUUUUCUGUUUUAUGUGACUGCACGAUCUAUAGGAAGUCUUCCCGUUUACUGUUUUAAGUUUUAACUAUGUAUGCUUGUCUAGCCAUAGUGUAUAAAAUUGCAUCAGUCAGUUGUCUGAUCGCGACAUUGUAAUAAAUGAUGUAAUCUGUUUACAUGUGCAGAAACUAGCCUUACAAAAGUUGAGGAAUUGCAGCAGCAACAGCCUCUCACAGAAGACUUGGCGCCAGAUUAUAGUUCUAACUCCGGCCUAGGAAAAAGUCUCGUGCAAGAUGAUGAAAUGAAAACUUCCCAUGCCUUAGAUACUACAGUAUGUGUAAAAAAAUUAUUCUGUUUUUUAAUUGUGGAAAUUCAUUUAUGUUCCUCUCUAAUUAACAUUGAAAAUUAUGUGGUAAAACUUUAUUUGGCUUGAUGUUUAAAGGGCUCUAUUAAGAUAUAUUUUGUAUAACUGUGUCUAUCCUGUGCUAUUAUGGUGUAAUUUUUAUUUUGCACAAUUGUGAAUAUUGUGGGAACUUGUGCUAUUACCCAACAACUCCUUGAAGUAAUCCUUGAACUUGGAUUUAUUAUGGUGUAAU